rnacentral:rRNA from 1 species
AACGAACGCUGGCGGCAUGCCUAACACAUGCAAGUCGAACGAGACCUUCGGGUCUAGUGGCGCACGGGUGCGUAACGCGUGGGAACCUGCCCUUAGGUUCGGAAUAACUCCCCGAAAGGGGUGCUCAUACCGGAUAAUGUCUUCGGACCAAAGAUUUAUCGCCUUUGGAUGGGCCCGCGUUGGAUUAGCUAGUUGGUAGGGUAAAAGCCUACCAAGGCGACGAUCCAUAGCUGGUCUGAGAGGAUGAUCAGCCACACUGGGACUGAGACACGGCCCAGACUCCGACGGGAGGCAGCAGUGGGGAAUAUUGGACAAUGGGCGAAAGCCUGAUCCAGCAAUGCCGCGUGAGUGAUGAAGGCCUUAGGGUUGUAAAGCUCUUUUACCCGGGAUGAUAAUGACAGUACCGGGAGAAUAAGCUCCGGCUAACUCCGUG